GGGCUUGUGGUUUAGUGGUAUAAUACUCCCUUAGCACCUGCAAGAUGCAACCUGGGAGUGGUCCGGGGUUCGAUUCCCCGCGAGUCCA
rnacentral:tRNA from 1 species